GUCUCCAUGGCUCAGUUGGUUAGAGCGUACGACUGUUACACUUGUGCAUCGUAAGGUCGCAAGUUCGAGCCUUGCUGGGGACG
rfam:Piriformospora indica DSM 11827, WGS project CAFZ01000000 data, contig: PIRI_contig_1795